CUCUCGCUCUGACAAUCGAAAGCGAAAAAUGAAAUUUCCUAAUUAUCAUCAUUUUUCGGAGGUGGCGUCGAAUUUUUUUUUUAUUUCAACUAUUUUCUAGAUUUCUUUUUUUUUUAGUUUUUUUACCCUUCUCUUUGACUCGAUUCUCUUCUCUCCUCUUCAAGUCUUCCCUAUCUUUUUUACACUUCACAUUUACAGAAACGCAAAAAAAAGAAGAAAAAAUCAAUUCCUCUCUUUGAUCUUUGCCAAGUCUCUAUUUUUGUUGCAUCUUUAUAAAGUAAAUUAUGUAAAUAUUUAUUGGGUUUUCUUUUUCUAGGAUCUGAUUCGUGAUCUUCCUUUAAAAUAUUUGUCUUUUUUUAAUCUUUUAUCUCUUCCCUUAUUAUGUUAAUUAUGAGGUUCUGGAAAUUCAAGCAAGUUUGAGUUUUUAUGCAUUCAUAUAAUAGUUUUCUGUCAUGGGAUUCGAAAAAAAUGAAACUAUCAAAAAGAAUUCAAUUUGGGAUCUUCAGUUUCAGCCUCUUUGUUGUGUAGAAUUAUUGCAAUGAUAUCAGUUUAAAAGAAUUACUGAAAGGAAAGGACUCGGUUUUGUGCAUGAUUUGUCUGAAUACUUGUUUUCUGAAAAACCCAGAUAGCAUUUAUUGUUAUUUUUGAUAAUUUUGUUUUUGUUUAACAGUUUUUUUUUUUUUUUGGAUUUGUACACAGUUUCUUGUUUACUGUUUUUAAUUAACUUCUAGAUUUAGUUUGUCCUUUUUUUUUUGGUUAGCUCAAUAGCAAUAGAAAGUCGGGUUUUUGGGACCAAAGUUUUGAUCUUUCUUCAUGAAUUAAGCAAGAUUUGACUAAGAUUAUAAUGGCUUAUUUAUCUGAGCCAUCUUCUUCUUUGAGCUUCAGUUCAUCUUCGCAUCUGUCAAAUGGCUCAAAUACUCACAACAUACCCUCCUUUUCUAUUCCUGAAACUGGGGCUAACCUUGAAGUUAUAAGUUUGACCAAGCUCAGCUCCAACUUGGAGCAACUCGUUGUUGGCGACUGUCCUGCUUUUAGUGAUUCUGAUAUAGUUGUUGAAGAUGUUGCUGUUGGUGUUCAUAGAUGUAUUUUAGCUGUUAGGAGUAAGUUUUUUAAUGAGUUGUUCAUGAAAGGAAAUGGGUCUUGUGAGGAAGAAGGAAAACCAAGUUAUAACCUGAGCGAGUUGUUGCCUUAUGGCAAGGUUGGACUUGAAGCUUUUCAGGUUUUCUUGAGUUAUUUGUAUACUGGGAAGCUCAAGCCUUCUCCUAUGGAGGUUUCAACAUGUGUUGAUAAUGUUUGUGCUCAUGAUGCUUGUCGACCCGCCAUUAAUUUUGCCGUGGAGUUGAUGUAUGCAUCUUUUAUAUUUCAAAUACCGGAGCUGGUUUCACUUUUUCAGCGACGUCUUCUUAAUUUUGUUGAGAAGGCUCUUGUAGAAGAUAUUAUCCCAAUCCUUGUGGUUGCUUUCCAUUGUCAAUGCAGUCAGCUUGUUUCUCAAUGUGUUGAUAGAGUGGCAAGGUCAGAUCUUGAUAGCAUUUCUAUUGAGAAAGAGCUUCCUUAUGAAGUCGCGGAGAGUAUUCGAUUGCUUCGCCACAAGUGUCUGCCUGACAAUGAAGAUAAUGAGGAAGCAGCCGAUCCUUUGCGAGAAAAAAGAAUUCGGAGAAUACACAAAGCAUUAGACUCUGACGAUGUCGAACUUGUUAAACUACUUUUAACUGAGUCUGAAAUAACUUUGGAUGAUGCUACUGCUCUCCAUUAUGCUGCAGCAUACUGUGAUCCCAAGGUUGUCUCUGAGGUUCUUGGCCUGCGCCUGGCUGAUGUUAAUCUACGAAAUUCUCGUGGUUACACAGUUCUUCACAUAGCUGCAAUGCGUAAAGAACCAUCAGUGAUUAUGUCACUUCUAGCAAAAGGGGCCUCUGCUUCAGAAUUGACGUCGGAUGGACAAAGUGCUGUUAACAUCUGCCAGAGGUUGACAAGACCAAAGGAUUAUCAUGCAAAAACAGAGCAAGGGAAGGAAACAAAUAAAGACCGGAUAUGCAUUGAUGUCCUGGAGAGGGAAAUGAGGAGAAAUCCAAUGGCUGGAGAUGUUUCUGUUACUUCCCAUACAUUGGCUGAUGAUCUGCACAUGAGACUUCUGUACCUAGAAAACCGAGUGGCAUUUGCAAGAUUACUUUUCCCUAGUGAAGCGAAACUUGCUAUGGACAUAGCACAUGCUGAGACAACCUCUGAGUUUGCUGGUCUUUCAUCGAAAGGUUCUAAUGGAAACUUAAGGCAGGUUGACUUGAAUGAGACGCCCAUUAUGCAGAAGAACAGACUUCUUGCAAGGAUGCAGGCCCUUAUGAAAACAGUGGAAAUGGGUCGGCGCUAUUUCCCUCAUUGCUCGGAAGUUUUAGAUAAGUUCAUGGAGGAUGACCUUCCUGAUUUGUUUUACCUUGAGAGGGGCACCCCGGAGGAAAAAAAAAUAAAGAGAUCACGCUUCAGGGAGCUUAAGGAGGAUGUUCAGAAGGCAUUUAACAAGGACAAGGCCGAGUUUAACCGCAAUGGGUUGUCUUCAUCGUCAUCAUCAUCUUCUUUAAGAGAUGCUGGCCCUUAUAAGCUCAGAAAAUUGUGAAUAAAUGUAGGUUGUGCCUACAAUGAGGAAUGAUUAUCAGAAGCAAAACGCUUUAGAGUUUUGAUGAAGGUUUCUCAUGAGAGGAACUUAUAAGUGUUGACUACUUCUGUCUACAACUUUUAGCCGGGACAACUUGUUAUGUAAUCUAUGCCUUGCUAAUAAAGGUUGGUCUGGUUACAAUUCUUGUUCUAGAGAUGAUGAUAACUAAAAUGGAGGAUGCACGGUGAUUCUAAAUCCCAAAGAUUUUCUUCAUGAUGUUGAUCGUUGUCACUGGAUUGCAGAUAAAAGUAUUGACCCAUUUGGAAGGGGGUGGUAUGUUCAAGUCUGGGAGAUCAAUCCAUUUGUGUAGCUGUAAAUUUAAUGUAAAAGCAACAAUUUUAUCUGAACAAGUGGAGCAAUAUACACAAUCGAAAAUGUCUUUACCAUCGUAUCACCUUUUAAUAAAAAUUUUUGGUAUCUUAAUUCACGUUUUCAGCUCAUUUUGCAAGCAUUUCUUCAGUGUAAUUCAAAUUCCUUCCAUGCUGAUUUUGCAUGAUGGCGUUCGUAACAUUCUACUGCAAUUACCAGCACUAAACAAUUCCAGAACUUCAAUUGAU